rnacentral:rRNA from 1 species
UACGUAGGGGGCAAGCGUUGUCCGGAAUCAUUGGGCGUAAAGAGCGUGUAGGCGGUCAGGUAGGUCCGUUGUGAAAACUCGAGGCUCAACCUCGAGACGCCGAUGGAAACCAUCUGACUAGAGUCCGGAAGAGGAGAGUGGAAUUCCUGGUGUAGCGGUGAAAUGCGCAGAUAUCAGGAAGAACACGCGUGGCUAAGGCGGCUCUCUAGUACGGUACUGACGCUGAGACGCGAAAGCGUGGGGAGCGAACAGG